AGAGAGAGAGAGAGAGAGAGAGAGAGAGAACGAGAGCUCGGUGCUCUCAGGCCGAAGCACGACCCGACCGAGGAAACCCAGCCAGAACGCCGACCUCCGGCCACCCCACGGCGGCGCACAGCCAUCAUUCUCUUCGUCUCGAUGUCGUCUACCCUCUGGUGGUCUCUGAUCAUCCAUGCAUCGAUCGUAGACGGAGAAUCGACGACUGGAAGCUUUAUGUCUUCUCCGGCGAGUUCUGCAAUUCCCGGCGACUCCGACCACCUUCUGAGCUACUUGUGUCGUCACUACACUUGCAGAGGAGAAAUUGUGAAGCUUGCUGCGUCGUUUGCAUCGAAACUCACUAGUUCAUCAUCGGCCAGUUUCGACAGUAAGAGUGUAAAACUGAGCUCGAUUUAAGUAGUUCUUGAAGGUAUAAUUCGAACCAUGUGUUAAAGUUUUGUUCUUGUUAUGGUAAUCCAGAGUUAGUGAACUGAGUUGGUUGGGCUUGAUUGAGAUUGAAAUUCUGCUUUUCUGUACUCUUCGACAGUUUGGUUGAGUGUGGUGAUUUUGGUUUGAUACGUUGAAAUUGGAGUUUGGUUAUUGUCAUGCAAAUCCGAAGUUAGUAGCUUGAGUUGAUAAUCUGUUAUUGUGGCCUUGGAAUGGACAUUUGGUUGGUUGAAUGUUGUAUAAGCUUGAUUGCGUGUGCAGAAUGGGCUGUGUGUCGAUUUGAAUGGACUGUGAUUAUAAAGAUUGUAUUGUGGCAGUGUGUCAAAUGGUGUUCUUGUUAAA